GGCAUAUUUGUUUGGAAUUAUAAUCUGUCCAGAUUAUAUAAUCUAUCUUAUUUUAAACUAAUACUAAUAUAUAAUCUGGAUAGAUUAUGAUCCAAAACAAACAGCAGACAACUUUUACAUGCAUGUACUAUAUGAAAUGGUCAUAACAUAUAUAUCUUACAAAUAGCAUGAGAAUGCUUGGUUUUGAACUCUAUUGAAGCAUACUAGUGUAUGGAGCGCGCCCAUGCGCGCGUGCGAAAUUAUGGUGUAAAAUCUUGUUUUAUAAGCAUGUAAAACUUGAUGCUAUGUCAUGAACACUUGCACAUGUAGAAUAAUCGUUAUUCAGGACAUGAGUGCAUAAGUAUCAGGCCAAAUGCAAGCUUUUUUGGUAGCAGCUGUCAAUGGAAUUGUAGCAUUUAUGUCAGCUGGAGAGUGAACUGAGACUAUAAUACAUAUUAAGUAGCAUUAAAGUAGUGUGCACCAAGAGCUGGUAACAAUAUGUUUCUAGGCGCUGCUUCAAUAUAUACAGAUCAGAAAUAGUCCAACAGCUGGUUUAUAUUUAUGCAUUAUAUUUAUGCAGAUACAUCUUCUAUCCAAAAGUGUUGUUGCUCUUGAUGAGUGGUGCAAGAUGGGAACCACCAUCUGCUAUAUAUCUUGUAUAAUGCGUAAAUAGUGACAAUGCAUCUAUAACCUUGUGGCUGCAUCACAAAAGAGAAAAAAGAUGCAGUAUAUCACAUUGUUGAUGUACAAAAGAAGUGGAAUAUAGGAGCAGGUGACAGUGAUUACAGGAAACAUGUCUGGAUCUAUAUGAAGCAACUCCUCGACAGUUUUGUCUUCGUAGUUUGGUGGCUAGGAAUUCUGAAUUUCUUCUUCGGUUGCAGUGGGUUGUAUCAGCUAUAGCUCACUGUUUUGUAACCUUCAGAUAAUGUCAAAUUUAGGAUGAGACAAGAGCAAGUGUUAGUGCAAAUAUCUAUUUAGUUCUCUGGAUGAAUACUUUUUGUGGUGUCAUAUUCUGUAUUAGUUGUGUAUAUAUGAAAAAAAUGAUAAGUACAGGCUUC
rnacentral:lncRNA from 7 species